rnacentral:rRNA from 1 species
CAUAGCAAGGGCCGGGCAAGACCGGUGCCAGCCGCCGCGGUAACACCGGCGGCUCGAGUGGUAACCGUUAUUAUUGGGUCUAAAGGGUCUGUAGCCGGCCGGAUAAGUCUCUUGAGAAAUCUGGCAGCUUAACUGUCAGGCUUUCAGGAGAUACUGUCUGGCUCGAGGCCGGGAGAGGUGAGAGGUACUUCAGGGGUAGGGGUGAAAUCUUGUAAUCCUUGAAGGACCACCAGUGGCGAAGGCGUCUCACCAGAACGGACCUGACGGCAAGGGACGAAAGCUAGGGGCACGAACCGGAUUAGAUACCCGGGUAGUCCUAGCCGUAAACGAUACUCGCUAGGUGUCGGCCACGGUGCGACCGUUGUCGGUGCCGUAGGGAAGCCGUGAAGCG